rnacentral:rRNA from 1 species
GAUGAACGCUGGCGGCGUGCCUAAUACAUGCAAGUCGAGCGAACAGAUAAGGAGCUUGCUCCUUUGACGUUAGCGGCGGACGGGUGAGUAACACGUGGGUAACCUACCUAUAAGACUGGGAUAACUUCGGGAAACCGGAGCUAAUACCGGAUAAUAUUUCGAACCGCAUGGUUCGAUAGUGAAAGAUGGUUUUGCUAUCACUUAUAGAUGGACCCGCGCCGGAUUAGCUAGUUGGUAAGGUAACGGCUUACCAAGGCGACGAUACGUAGCCGACCUGAGAGGGUGAUCGGCCACACUGGAACUGAGACACGGCCCAGACUCCUACGGGAGGCAGCAGUAGGGAAUCUUCCGCAAUGGGCGAAAGCCUGACGGAGCAACGCCGCGUGAGUGAUGAAGGUCUUCGGAUCGUAAAACUCUGUUAUUAGGGAAGAACAUACGUGUAAGUAACUGUGCACGUCUUGACGGUACCUAAUCAGAAAGCCACGGCUAACUACGUG